rnacentral:rRNA from 1 species
GAUGAACGCUGGCGGUCUGCUUAACACAUGCAAGUCGAACGGAAUCCUUCGGGAUUUAGUGGCGGACGGGUGAGUAACACGUGAGAAUCUGCACUCAGGAUGGGGACAACAGCGGGAAACUGCUGCUAAUACCCAAUGUGCCGAAAGGUAAAAGAUUUAUCGCCAGAGAAUGAGCUCGCGGCCGAUUAGUUAGUUGGUGGGGUAAUGGCCUACCAAGACGGCGAUCGGUAGCUGGUCUGAGAGGAUGAGCAGCCACACUGGGACUGAGACACGGCCCAGACUCCUACGGGAGGCAGCAGUGGGGAAUUUUCCGCAAUGGGCGCAAGCCUGACGGAGCAAGACCGCGUGGGGGAGGAAGGCUCUUGGGUUGUAAACCCCUUUUCUCAGGGAAGAAGUUCUGACGGUACCUGAGGAAUCAGCCUCGGCUAACUCCGUGCCAGCCGCCGCGGUAA